rnacentral:piRNA from 1 species
UACUCAAGACAGAGAUAGCGACACGAAC